rnacentral:rRNA from 1 species
AAAUUGAAGAGUUUGAUCAUGGCUCAGAUUGAACGCUGGCGGCAGGCCUAACACAUGCAAGUCGAACGGUAGCACAGAGAGCUUGCUCUCGGGUGACGAGUGGCGGACGGGUGAGUAAUGUCUGGGAAACUGCCUGAUGGAGGGGGAUAACUACUGGAAACGGUAGCUAAUACCGCAUAACGUCGCAAGACCAAAGAGGGGGACCUUCGGGCCUCUUGCCAUCAGAUGUGCCCAGAUGGGAUUAGCUAGUAGGUGGGGUAAUGGCUCACCUAGGCGACGAUCCCUAGCUGGUCUGAGAGGAUGACCAGCCACACUGGAACUGAGACACGGUCCAGACUCCUACGGGAGGCAGCAGUGGGGAAUAUUGCACAAUGGGCGCAAGCCUGAUGCAGCCAUGCCGCGUGUAUGAAGAAGGCCUUCGGGUUGUAAAGUACUUUCAGCGGGGAGGAAGGUGUUGCGGUUAAUAACCGCAGCAAUUGACGUUACCCGCAGAAGAAGCACCGGCUAACUCCGUGCCAGCAGCCGCGGUAAUACGGAGGGUGCAAGCGUUAAUCGGAAUUACUGGGCGUAAAGCGCACGCAGGCGGUCUGUCAAGUCGGAUGUGAAAUCCCCGGGCUCAACCUGGGAACUGCAUUCGAAACUGGCAGGCUAGAGUCUUGUAGAGGGGGGUAGAAUUCCAGGUGUAGCGGUGAAAUGCGUAGAGAUCUGGAGGAAUACCGGUGGCGAAGGCGGCCCCCUGGACAAAGACUGACGCUCAGGUGCGAAAGCGUGGGGAGCAAACAGGAUUAGAUACCCUGGUAGUCCACGCCGUAAACGAUGUCGACUUGGAGGUUGUGCCCUUGAGGCGUGGCUUCCGGAGCUAACGCGUUAAGUCGACCGCCUGGGGAGUACGGCCGCAAGGUUAAAACUCAAAUGAAUUGACGGGGGCCCGCACAAGCGGUGGAGCAUGUGGUUUAAUUCGAUGCAACGCGAAGAACCUUACCUACUCUUGACAUCCAGAGAACUUUCCAGAGAUGGAUUGGUGCCUUCGGGAACUCUGAGACAGGUGCUGCAUGGCUGUCGUCAGCUCGUGUUGUGAAAUGUUGGGUUAAGUCCCGCAACGAGCGCAACCCUUAUCCUUUGUUGCCAGCGGUCCGGCCGGGAACUCAAAGGAGACUGCCAGUGAUAAACUGGAGGAAGGUGGGGAUGACGUCAAGUCAUCAUGGCCCUUACGAGUAGGGCUACACACGUGCUACAAUGGCGCAUACAAAGAGAAGCGAACUCGCGAGAGCAAGCGGACCUCAUAAAGUGCGUCGUAGUCCGGAUUGGAGUCUGCAACUCGACUCCAUGAAGUCGGAAUCGCUAGUAAUCGUAGAUCAGAAUGCUACGGUGAAUACGUUCCCGGGCCUUGUACACACCGCCCGUCACACCAUGGGAGUGGGUUGCAAAAGAAGUAGGUAGCUUAACCUUCGGGAGGGCGCUUACCACUUUGUGAUUCAUGACUGGGGUGAAGUCGUAACAAGGUAACCGUAGGGGAACCUGCGGUUGGAUCACCUCCUUA